rnacentral:rRNA from 1 species
UACAGAGGUCUCGAGCGUUGUUCGGAUUCAUUGGGCGUAAAGGGCGCGUAGGUGGCGCGGUAAGUCGGGUGUGAAAUUUCGGAGCUUAACUCCGAAACUGCAUUCGAUACUGCCGUGCUUGAGGACUGGAGAGGAGACUGGAAUUUACGGUGUAGCAGUGAAAUGCGUAGAGAUCGAUAAGGAAGACCAGUGGCGAAGGCGGGUCU